UUUAGUUUGGUACCUAAAUCUGGAGUUUGACUGGAAACUGUUAGACUAAUCCCUGGUAACUUUCAGAAUCUAAGGUCUUCUGAGUUUUUUUAAGCACAGGGAGUUUCCCAGUGCAGAGCACUAGAGCAGAGCUGUCCCUCCACUUCUCCAGAGCUGUCCCCUUCCACAGUGGCUGCUUCUUAAAACAGGAAUCCUACUGAAGCACGGCUGCCGUGA
rnacentral:lncRNA from 1 species